rfam:Lupinus angustifolius cultivar Tanjil chromosome LG16, whole genome shotgun sequence.
AUGGAUGUGAUGAUUAUUUCCCCAGAUGAUCGAAGCUGAUAUAUCUGUGCGAUUUUAUUUCUCUUUGGAGAAAUCAAGCCAAUUAAUCUGAUCCAU